UGGAUCAGUGAUGACCACUAGUGGCGGACAAGGCAUGGAUGAUGACCACAGCUCCAAGGUCUGAGUUCCAG
ensembl:snoRNA